rnacentral:rRNA from 1 species
GACGAACGCUGGCGGCGUGCUUAACACAUGCGAGUCGAACGGAAAGGCCCUGCUUUUGUGGGGUGCUCGAGUGGCGAACGGGUGAGUAACACGUGAGUAACCUGCCCUUGACUUUGGGAUAACUUCAGGAAACUGGGGCUAAUACCGGAUAGGAGCUCCUGCUGCGUGGUGGGGGUUGGAAAGUUUCGGCGGUUGGGGAUGGACUCGCGGCUUAUCAGCUUGUUGGUGGGGUAGUGGCUUACCAAGGCUUUGACGGGUAGCCGGCCUGAGAGGGUGACCGGCCACAUUGGGACUGAGAUACGGCCCAGACUCCUACGGGAGGCAGCAGUGGGGAAUAUUGCACAAUGGGCGGAAGCCUGAUGCAGCAACGCCGCGUGCGGGAUGACGGCCUUCGGGUUGUAAACCGCUUUCGCCUGUGACGAAGCGUGAGUGACGGUAAUGGGUAAAGAAGCACCGGCUAACUACGUG